CGCUGGCGGCGUGCUUAACACAUGCAAGUCGAACGGGGUUUAUUUAAGCUUGCUUUAUGGAACCUAGUGGCAAACGGAUGAGUAACGCGUAGACAACCUGCCUUGAGAUGGGGACAACAGAUCGAAAGAUUUGCUAAUACCGAAUGAAGCAGCAUUUUCGCAUGAAGGAGCUGUUAAAGGUGGCCUCUAUUUAUAAGCUACCACUUAAAGAUGGGUCUGCGUCUGAUUAGCUAGUUGGUGAGGUAACGGCUCACCAAGGCGACGAUCAGUAGCCGGUCUGAGAGGAUGAACGGCCAUAUUGGGACUGAGACACGGCCCAAACUCCUACGGGAGGCAGCAGUGGGGAAUCUUCCGCAAUGGGCGAAAGCCUGACGGAGCAACGCCGCGUGAAGUGAAGAAGGUCUUCGGAUCGUAAAGCUCUGUUGUUGGGGACGAAUGUUACCUUUGAGAACAUUGGAGGUAAAUGACGGUACCUAACGAGGAAGCCACGGCUAACUACGUGCCAGCCGCAGC
rnacentral:rRNA from 1 species